rnacentral:misc_RNA from 1 species
GAUGAAGAACGUAGCGAAAUGCGAUACUUGGUGUGAAUUGCAGAAUCCCGUGAACCAUCGAGUCUUUGAACGCAAGUUGCGCCCGAAGCCAUUAGGCCGAGGGCACGCCUGCCUGGGCGUCACACGUCGUUGCCCCCCCAUCUACUCCGUCGGGAUUGCGGGGGGCGGAUGAUGGCCUCCCGUGCGCCUCGCCGCGCGGUUGGCAUAAAUGCCAAGUCCUCGGCGACGCACGCCACGACAAUCGGUGGUUGCGAAACCUCGGUUGCCCGUCGUGUGCGGUCGUCGCGCAUCGAGGGCUCGAAAAAAUUGCCGGGUUCCGGCUCGGCUUUCAACGCGACCCCAGGUCAGGCGGGGUUACCCGCUGAAUUUAAGCAUAUCAAUAAGCGGAGGA